GCGCCCGCUCCGGGGUGCACGACAGUGGCGUGCUGAGAUGGCGGGCCGACCCGCCAAAACCGCGAACUUGAUCUGGUUCGUACCAGCGUAAGAAGAGCUGCAGUGAACAAG
rnacentral:ncRNA from 2 species